UGAUGGUGAUGAUAGUGAUGGUGAUGGUGAUGAUGAUGAUGGUGGGAACUAUACCACCAUCAUCAUCAUCACGUCAUCAUCAUUGUUACCA
rnacentral:pre_miRNA from 1 species